UACAGAGGUCUCAAGCGUUGUUCGGAUUUAUUGGGCGUAAAGGGUGCGUAGGCGGCGCGGUAAGUCGGGUGUGAAAUCUCGGAGCUUAACUCCGAAACUGCAUUCGAUACUGCCGUGCUUGAGGACUGGAGAGGAGACUGGAAUUUACGGUGUAGCGGUGAAAUGCGUAGAUAUCGUAAGGAAGACCAGUGGCGAAGGCGGGUCUCUGGACAGUUCCUGACGCUGAGGCACGAAGGCCAGGGGAGCAAACAGG
rnacentral:rRNA from 1 species